UACGUAGGGUGCGAGCGUUAAUCGGAAUUACUGGGCGUAAAGCGUGCGCAGGCGGUUUGUUAAGUCCGCUGUGAAAGCCCCGGGCUCAACCUGGGAAUGGCGGUGGAAACUGGCGAGCUAGAGUGUAGCAGAGGGGGGUGGAAUUCCACGUGUAGCAGUGAAAUGUGUAGAGAUCGGGAGGAACACCGGUGGCGAAGGCGGGUCUCUGGGCCGAUACUGACACUGAGGAGCGAAAGCGUGGGGAGCGAACAGG
rnacentral:rRNA from 1 species